rnacentral:rRNA from 1 species
GUAGGUGGCAAGCGUUGUCCGGAAUUAUUGGGCGUAAAGCGCGCGCAGGCGGUUCUUUAAGUCUGAUGUGAAAGCCCACGGGCUCAACCGUGGAGGGUCAUUGGAAACUGGAGAACUUGAGUACAGAAGAGGAAAGCGGAAUUCCACGUGUAGCGGUGAAAUGCGUAGAGAUGUGGAGGAACACCAGUGGCGAAGGCGGCUUUCUGGUCUGUAACUGACGCUGAGGCGCGAAAGCGUGGGGAGCAAACAGGAUUAGAUACCCUGGUAGUCCACGCCGUAAACGAUGAGUGCUAAGUGUUAGGGGGUUUCCGCCCCUUAGUGCUGCAGCUAACGCAUUAAGCACUUCGCCUGGGGAGUACGGCCGCAAGGCUG